rnacentral:rRNA from 1 species
GUUGUAUAGUCAAGUAAUUAAGUGCAUGUGGUGGAUGCCUUGGCAGUCAGAGGCGAUGAAAGACGUGAUAGCCUGCGAAAAGCUCCGGGGAGGCGGCAAAUAUCCUUUGAUCCGGAGAUGUCUGAAUGGGGGAACCCACCUACUUUAAGGUAGGUAUUGCAACAUGAAUACAUAGUGUUGCAAGGCGAACGAGGGGAAGUGAAACAUCUCAGUACCCUUAGGAAAAGAAAUCAAUUGAGAUUCCCUCAGUAGCGGCGAGCGAACGGGGAUCAGCCCAUUAAGUUAUGUGUGUUUUAGUGGAACGCUCUGGGAAGUGCGAACGUAGAGGGUGAUAUUCCCGUACACGAAAGGGCACACAUAAUGAUGACGAGUAGGGCGAGGCACGUGAAACCUUGUCUGAAUAUGGGGGGACCAUCCUCCAAGGCUAAAUACUCCUGACUGACCGAUAGUGAACCAGUACCGUGAGGGAAAGGCGAAAAGAACCCCUGUGAGGGGAGUGAAAUAGAUCCUGAAACCGCAUGCAUACAAGCAGUGGGAGCACCUUCGUGGUGUGACUGCGUACCUUUUGUAUAAUGGGUCAGCGACUUAUAUUCAGUAGCGAGGUUAACCGUAUAGGGGAGCCGUAGAGAAAUCGAGUCUUAAUAGGGCGUUUAGUUGCUGGGUAUAGACCCGAAACCAGGCGAUCUAUCCAUGAGCAGGUUGAAGGUUGGGUAACACUAACUGGAGGACCGAACCCACUGUCGUUGAAAAGCCAGGGGAUGACUUGUGGAUAGGGGUGAAAGGCUAAUCAAGCCUGGUGAUAGCUGGUUCUCCCCGAAAGCUAUUUAGGUAGCGCCUCGGACGAAUACCAUAGGGGGUAGAGCACUGUUUCGGCUAGGGGGUCAUCCCGACUUACCAAACCGAUGCAAACUCCGAAUACCUAUGAGUACUAUCCGGGAGACAGACUGCGGGUGCUAACGUCCGUAGUCAAGAGGAAAACAAUCCAGACCGCCAGCUAAGGCCCCAAAAUCAUAGUUAAGUGGGAAACGAUGUGGGAAGGCAUAGACAGCUAGGAGGUUGGCUUAGAAGCAGCCACCCUUUAAAGAAAGCGUAAUAGCUCACUAGUCGAGUCGGCCUGCGCGGAAGAUGUAACGGGGCUAAAACUAUGUGCCGAAGCUGCGGAUNNNNNNNNNNNNNNNNNNNNNNNNNNNAUGCUGGAGGUAUCAGAAGUGCGAAUGCUGACGUGAGUAACGACAAAACGGGUGAAAAACCCGUUCGCCGAAAGACCAAGGGUUCCAGUCCAACGUUAAUCGGGGCUGGGUGAGUCGACCCCUAAGGCGAGGCCGAAAGGCGUAGUCGAUGGGAAAAUGGUUAAUAUUCCAUUACUUCUGUGUAAUGCGAUGAGAGGACGGAGAAGGCUAAAUCAGCCUGGCGUUGGUUGUCCAGGUGAAAGGAUGUAGGCAUGUAUCUUAGGCAAAUCCGGGGUACUCUAUGCUGAGAUCUGAUAGCAAGCUGUACUUGUACAGCGAAGUGGUUGAUGCCAUGCUUCCAGGAAAAGUCUCUAAGCUUCAGUUACACAGGAAUCGUACCCGAAACCGACACAGGUGGUCAGGUCGAGUAGACCAAGGCGCUUGAGAGAACUCUGCUGAAGGAACUAGGCAAAAUGGUACCGUAACUUCGGGAGAAGGUACGCUGUUGUUGGUGAUGGAACUCGCUUCCUGAGCUGACGACAGCCGCAGAAACCAGGCCGCUGCAACUGUUUAUUAAAAACAUAGCACUCUGCAAACACGAAAGUGGACGUAUAGGGUGUGAUGCCUGCCCGGUGCUGGAAGGUUAAUUGAUGGGGUUAGCGUAAGCGAAGCUCUUGAUCGAAGCCCCAGUAAACGGCGGCCGUAACUAUAACGGUCCUAAGGUAGCGAAAUUCCUUGUCGGGUAAGUUCCGACCUGCACGAAUGGCAUAAUGAUGGCGGCGCUGUCUCCAGCAGAGGCUCAGUGAAAUCGAAAUCGCUGUGAAGAUGCAGUGUACCCGCGGCUAGACGGAAAGACCCCGUGAACCUUUACUGCAGCUUGACACUGAACUUUGACCUUACUUGUGUAGGAUAGGUGGGAGGCUUUGAAGCUGGAACGCUAGUUCCAGUGGAGCCGUCCUUGAAAUACCACCCUGGUAAUGUUGAGGUUCUAACUCUGUCCCGUGAUCCGGGACGAGGACCGUGUCUGGUGGGUAGUUUGACUGGGGCGGUCUCCUCCUAAAGAGUAACGGAGGAGUACGAAGGUGCGCUCAGCGUGGUCGGAAAUCACGCGUAGAGUAUAAAGGCAAAAGCGCGCUUAACUGCGAGACCCACAAGUCGAGCAGGUACGAAAGUAGGUCUUAGUGAUCCGGUGGUUCUGUAUGGAAGGGCCAUCGCUCAACGGAUAAAAGGUACUCUGGGGAUAACAGGCUGAUACCGCCCAAGAGUUCAUAUCGACGGCGGUGUUUGGCACCUCGAUGUCGGCUCAUCUCAUCCUGGGGCUGAAGCAGGUCCCAAGGGUAUGGCUGUUCGCCAUUUAAAGAGGUACGCGAGCUGGGUUUAGAACGUCGUGAGACAGUUCGGUCCCUAUCUACCGUGGGCGCUGGAAAUUUGAGAGGAUCUGCUCCUAGUACGAGAGGACCAGAGUGGACGAACCUCUGGUGUACCGGUUGUGACGCCAGUCGCAUCGCCGGGUAGCUAUGUUCGGAAGGGAUAACCGCUGAAAGCAUCUAAGCGGGAAGCCUACCUCAAGAUAAGAUUUCCCUAGGACUUUAUGUCCUCUAAAGAGCCGUUCGAGACUAGGACGUUGAUAGGUUGGAUGUGGAAGCAUAGUGAUAUGUGAAGCUGACCAAUACUAAUUGCUCGUGAGGCUUGACUAUACAACACCCAAGCAGUUG